rnacentral:rRNA from 1 species
UACGUAGGGUGCAAGCGUUGUCCGGAAUUAUUGGGCGUAAAGAGCUCGUAGGCGGUCUGUCGCGUCGGCUGUGAAAACCCGUGGCUCAACCGCGGGCCUGCAGUCGAUACGGGCAGACUAGAGUGCGGUAGGGGAGACUGGAAUUCCUGGUGUAGCGGUGAAAUGCGCAGAUAUCUGGAGGAACACCAGCGGCGAAGGCGGCUUCCUGGCCUGUAACUGACGCUGAGACGCGAAAGCGUGGGGAGCGAACCGG